rnacentral:rRNA from 1 species
UCCGCUUUCGGGUGGAGAGCGUACACAGGUGCUGCAUGGCUGUCGUCAGCUCGUGUCGUGAGACGUUGGGUUAAGUCCCGCAACGAGCGCAACCCCUGCAUUCAGUUGCCAUCGGGUGAAGCCGGGCACUCUGGAAGGACUGCCAUCGACAAGAUGGAGGAAGGUGGGGACGACGUCAAGUCAUCAUGGCCCUUAUGUCCAGGGCGACACACGUGCUACAAUGGCCGGCACAACGGGAAGCGAGUUCGCGAGGACGAGCGGAUCCCUUAAAGCCGGUCGCAGUUCGGAUUGAAGUCUGCAACUCGACUUCAUGAAGCUGGAAUCGCUAGUAAUCGCAGAUCAGCCAAGCUGCGGUGAAUACGUUCCCGGGCCUU